rnacentral:rRNA from 1 species
AUACGGAGGGUGCAAGCGUUAAUCGGAAUUACUGGGCGUAAAGCGUACGUAGGCGGUUUAUUAAGUCAGAUGUGAAAGCCCCGGGCUUAACCUGGGAACUGCAUUUGAAACUAGUAGACUAGAGUAUGCUAGAGGGGGGUAGAAUUCCUAGUGUAGCGGUGAAAUGCGUAGAUAUUAGGAGGAAUACCAGUGGCGAAGGCGGCCCCCUGGACCAAUACUGACGCUGAGGUACGAAAGCGUGGGGAGCGAACAGGAUUAGAAACCCGAGUAGUCC